AUGAUCAGCCACACUGGGACUGAGACACGGCCCAGACUCCUACGGGAGGCAGCAGUGGGGAAUUUUCCGCAAUGGGCGAAAGCUUGACGGAGCAACGCCGCGUGAGGGAUGAAGGCCUCUGGGCUGUAAACCUCUUUUCUCAAGGAAGAAGAUAUGACGGUACUUGAGGAAUAAGCCACGGCUAAUUCCGUGCCAGCAGCCGCGGUAAUACGGGAGUGGCAAGCGUUAUC
rnacentral:rRNA from 1 species